rnacentral:tRNA from 1 species
CCGUCAAAAGCGCAGUUGGCAGAGCGGUGGACUGUAGAUCCAUAGGUCGCUGGUUCGACUCCGGCUCGACGGA